rnacentral:rRNA from 1 species
UACAGAGGUCUCAAGCGUUGUUCGGAUUCAUUGGGCGUAAAGGGUGCGUAGGCGGCGCGGUAAGUCGGGUGUGAAAUCUCGGAGCUUAACUCCGAAACUGCAUUCGAUACUGCCGUGCUUGAGGACUGGAGAGGAGACUGGAAUUUAUGGUGUAGCGGUGAAAUGCGUAGAUAUCGGGAAGAACACCCGUGGCGAAGGCGGUUCUCUGGGACGGUACUGACGCUGAGACGCGAAAGCGUGGGGAGCGAACGGG